rnacentral:rRNA from 1 species
UUCUGCUCAAUGAUUUUUUAAAUUGCUGUAGUAUUUUGACUAUACAAAGGUAUUGAAAUAAGAUUUUAAUUGAAUGCUAAGAGAAUGGAAGUCCAGAAAAAAACUUUUUUUAAAUUAAAAAUUGAAGUUUUUUUAAUUUGUGCAGAAACAAUUAUUUAUAUUAAAGACAAGAAGACCCUAUGAAUUUAUUAAAUUUUUAUUUAAUAUGUAAUUACUAUUAGAAAAAUUUUGGCUGGGGCGGCUAGAAAAUAUUAUGAACUUUUUAAAAAUAAAAUGAUCCAUUAUUAAUGAUUUUAUGUUAAAUACUCUAGGGA